rnacentral:rRNA from 1 species
CGCGUAGGCGGCUUUAUAAGUCUGGAGUGAAAGUCCUCUUUUCAAGGGAGGAAUUGCUUUGGAAACUAUAGAGCUUGAGUGCAGGAGAGGUUAUCGGAAUUCCCGGUGUAGCGGUGAAAUGCGUAGAUAUCGGGAGGAACAUCGGUGGCGAAGGCGGGUAACUGGACUGCAACUGACGCUGAGACGCGAAAGCGUGGGUAGCAAACAG